rnacentral:lncRNA from 12 species
GCGGCUUCUCCUCGACCCGGCGCUGAAAUGACCUUGAGCUCCUUCAUCAUCCCCUCUGAGCUCUCCUCCCCCCUCGCCUGUUAAAUGAAAGGCAUCACAGUACCGAGGUCAUUUUGAGGAUCUAACAAGACAGUGCGUAGAAAGUAUGCAGCACGUGCUUCUCAGUAAGUUCAGUUAAUGCAGAUGAUAUGAACAGCAGUAAUAACAGCAAUAGUAUCAUCAAGUGUGGAAACAGAUACUCAUCUUAAGGUUUCUUUGUGCCAGGGAUGGACGGAUAUAAAUUAAGAGAGAUGGCAUUUUUUGCCACUGGCUUUUCCAGGCAGGGGAGCAGAGAGGGGCAGGAUGUAGGAGAUGCUCCAGGGUCUUUGCAAUUUUCCAUCAACUGCUUGAACCUGAAAGGUUCCUAGAGGUCAUAAGGUUUAAGCCCCUGGAGAGGCUGAGGACAAGAGAAGAGAAGGGACUUGCCCCAGGUCACUCAGUGGCAGACCGGCAAAGACAGACGUCCUUCCCUUCCCUGAAUUAAUGACCGAGGUCUAGUUCUUCUAACAUAACGGCAGCCUAUGCCCCCGGCAAAAGUGAGUGGCUGGCUGGCCCUGCCUCCAGGCUGACCUGGGCCCAGAGCUAAGCUGAUGGAGACCAGAAAUAGCACUGUCAACACCUCCUGCCUGCCCAGCUCAUCUAUCCACAGUCAGGUGUUCUGGACCUCAUCCCAGCGAGAGCUUACAGCAACGGAUUCCAAGGAAUUUUGGCUUGGUUCCUUGGCGGAGGGAGACCCGGAGGAAUGAUGGAGCGCUCUCUCCUCUCCACCCCAUCCACACAUGGUCCUCUUCAUUUCAGCGUCCGGAGCAAUGGGCAGUAAACCCAGGGGCGUUGGGGAAGAGCUUGCACCAGAAGAACCUGGGACUCGGCCCAGACUCGGCUGCUUCCUGCUGGAGUCACCUCUCUGAGCCUCAGUUUCCCUCUCUGUAAAGGGGGAAUAGCAAUAGUAGACAGAUGCACUACCCAUGCGGCUAGGAAUCCACUAGUUGAGGUAAAUUAAAUGCCUGAUGCAGUAGAUAUUUGAGAAAUUAUAUUUUCCC